AGCUGGGCCGCAACCGCGCAAGUCCCUCCCGAGAAGCUCCUUCCUCAGUUUGAGAGACGCCGGCGGACGCAAAUGGGAGCCAGGGCCCCAUCUGUCACUUCCGGCUAUGGGGACGAUUCAUCAUCUGUAAGGUAAGCAGUUGUGAUCAUCUAUCCUCUGAGCUUAGUGCAGAGCAAGCACUCAGGAGAUACCAGUACUACUAUACUUCAUCAGCAAAGGACUGUUGUGAAGAUUAACUAUGAUAAGAGAAGCAAUGGCCAGAGCCUCGCUUUUAACGGAAUGGGGAGAAAUCAGAACCCAGCUGCUGUGGGCGGAGCAGCGUGAGGAUCCAUGCCUCCCAGCUUGGGUGGACGGGCCAAGCGCGUCGCGGGGACAGAUACAGGUAAGAGACCACAAGACAUGGAGUCCAGGCCGCCGAGCGCCCAAGUGGAGGGCCACGCCCAGGGGCCAGGGCAGAUUACCUUUC